rnacentral:rRNA from 1 species
GAUGAACGCUGGCGGCGUGCUUAACACAUGCAAGUCGAACGAAUCUUGAGGAGCUUGCUCCUCUUGGUUAGUGGCGGACGGGUGAGUAACGCGUGGGUAACCUGCCCUAUGCAGGGGGAUAACAACGAGAAAUUGUUGCUAAUACCGCAUAAUCUAUAGAGGUCGCAUGACUUUUAUAGCAAAGAUUUAUCAGCAUAGGAUGGACCCGCGUUGGAUUAGCUAGUUGGUGAGAUAAUAGCCCACCAAGGCAACGAUCCAUAGCCGGCCUGAGAGGGUGAACGGCCACAUUGGGACUGAGACACGGCCCAAACUCCUACGGGUGGCAG